AGCAAAAUAGUGGGAAGAUUUUUAGGUAGAGGUGAAAAGCCUAACGAGCUUGGUGAUAGCUGGUUACCCAAAAAAUGAAUUUAAGUUCAACUUUAAAUUUGCUUAAAGAACAUAAAAUCUUAAUGUAAAUUUAAAAUAUAGCCAAAAGAGGGACAGCUCUUUAGGAAUGGAAAAAACCUUAAAUAGUGAAUAAACAACAAUACAAUUUAACCAUUGUAGGCUUAAAAGCAGCCACCAAUAAAGAAAGCGUUCAAGCUCAACAUAAAAUUUCAACUAAUACAACUAUAUUCAUUGACUUCCUAAAAUUAGAUAUUGGGUGAAUCUAUAAUCUUAUAGAUGAUAUACUGUUAAUAUGAGUAACAAGAAUACAAAUUCUCCAAGCAUAAGUGUAUAACAACUCGGAUGCCCAUUGUUAGUUAUCAGGAUAUAGGUGAUAUCUAUUCCAUAAGAACACCUAAAACUUUAUCUGUUAGCCCAACACAGGAAUGCUUUAAGGAAAGAUUAAAAAAAAUAAAAGGAACUCGGCAAACAAGAACCUCGCCUGUUUACCAAAAACAUCACCUCUAGCAUAUCAAGUAUUAGAGGCAUUGCCUGCCCAGUGACUUAAGUUAAACGGCCGCGGUAUCCUGACCGUGCAAAGGUAGCAUAAUCACUUGUUCCUUAAUUAGGGACUAGCAUGAAUGGCUAAACGAAGGUUCGACUGUCUCUUAUUUUUAAUCAGUGAAAUUGACCUUUCAGUGAAGAGGCUGAAAUUUUAUAAUAAGACGAGAAGACCCUAUGGAGCUUAAAUUAAAUAAUUUAACUGUAAUUAUUAAUAAAUCCAAGGACCUAAAAACUACAGCAUAAAUUAAAAAUUUCGGUUGGGGUGACCUCGGAGAAUAAAAAAUCCUCCGAAUGAUUGUAACCUAGACUUACAAGUUAAAGUAAUACUUAUGUCUUAUUGACCCAAAAAAUAUUUUGAUCAACGGACCAAGUUACCCUAGGGAUAACAGCGC
rnacentral:rRNA from 1 species